GAUGAACGCUGGCGGCGUGCCUAAUACAUGCAAGUCGAGCGAACAGACGAGGAGCUUGCUCCUCUGACGUUAGCGGCGGACGGGUGAGUAACACGUGGAUAACCUACCUAUAAGACUGGGAUAACUUCGGGAAACCGGAGCUAAUACCGGAUAAUAUAUUGAACCGCAUGGUUCAAUAGUGAAGGACGGUUUUGCUGUCACUUAUAGAUGGAUCCGCGCCGCAUUAGCUAGUUGGUAAGGUAACGGCUUACCAAGGCAACGAUGCGUAGCCGACCUGAGAGGGUGAUCGGCCACACUGGAACUGAGACACGGUCCAGACUCCUACGGGAGGCAGCAGUAGGGAAUCUUCCGCAAAGGGCGAAAGCUUGACGGAGCAACGCCGCGUGAGUGAUGAAGGUCUUCGGAUCGUAAAACUCUGUUAUUAGGGAAGAACAAAUGUGUAAGUAACUAUGCACGUCUUGACGGUACCUAAUCAGAAAGCCACGGCUAACUACGUG
rnacentral:rRNA from 1 species